GUUAAAGGACUUCUUUCUCAGCCACAUAAAUCAAUAUCUAUUCAUGUGUCCAUUCAUCACAAGAACAUUUAAAAGACAAUUCUAGAAAUGAUCUUUUCAGAAUUAACAUUUCUAGAAGUGAUCCAAAUAAAUAGGAAUCAAAUAGGAGUUCAAUCUCAGGAAUACCACCAUAAGUGCAACUAAUUUGUCGAUAGGUAUGUCAAUGUUUAUCUAGGUGCUUUUUAGGAGCUUGAGUUAACUUCAAAGGUGAAAAGAUGAAUGAGUGUCAUUGGUAUCAGUAUUUCACAAUAAUUCAGCUACUUUGCCAAUAGGUGUUUUGAUUGUGAAUGCUCAAGAGAUUGAUCACAACGACAAAAAUGCAUCUCCUAUUAUAGAAUUUAUAAACAUUAGCAGUAUCAAUGUAAAUAGGCAACAACGACUAUGAUAUGUGAAUGUGCGCAUCCAAAAGUAUGUUAUUUCCAUAAUUGUAUAAAACAUACAUUUGGGAUCAUUUUCAUCAACUGAUCCAAUCAAACGAGAUAACCCUUACUGUUA